CUUGUCAUGUCUUACCCAAUCUCUGGUGCAGCCUUGACAACAAGGCUGCACCAGAGAUUGGGUAAGACAUGACAAG
rnacentral:miRNA from 1 species